UCCCGAUUAGCUCAGUCGGUAGAGCGUCAGACUUUUAACACAAAGUCUCCAAGCUGGUCUUGGAAUGUUUAAUCUGAAUGUCAGGGGUUCGAGCCCCCUAUUGGGAG
rnacentral:tRNA from 1 species